UGGUAUGGGUAGGUUUAAGGUUGGGUGAAGGUGAAAAUGUUAAAAUGUGCAUGUACACAAUAAGCACUGUAUCAAACUAUUAAUUUUAAUGUAUGUACAAAAUAGUUAAGGCCACCUAAUAUAAAGUGGGACCCUGAUUUCUGUAUUCCUGAUCAAAUACAUGCAAUGUUGGUGGUAAAAAUGUAAAAUUGCUCAGCCUUGACUUUCACCUACAGCCAUCAUGAUCGAGUGUUUUUAAAACUGAAGUUCAGGAGGGAAAGCGUUCACAGGAGCCAAGGAAUGAAAGGUGAGAUGUGCUCCAGCUCACACAGACACAUGUAUAGACCAGCAUGCAUCUGUCUGACAUAAAUGCAUCGUGGCUGAACAGCCCUCAUUGGUCUCUAGAGGCACAAGGUCUGAACUCCACUAACAUCUGGAGAAACGCUGCGGUGUGUCUGUUCUGCAGUCAUGAACAUUCCUGCGUUCAGCUGAAUCACCUUCAGGGGGGUUCAUUUCUCUUAAUUGGUCUAUUUGCUGUUCGUGGGAUAAUUGCUUAAAAUCAUUUUAAAUUAUGAGAAUCUACAUUUUAGAACCACAAGAGGGAGUCGAGUGAUGUCACUGCCAUGCAUCACUAUGAUGCAAAUGUUACAGAUACAGACAUGAAAUGCAAAAAAAGAUAUAUAGGUUAAUAGGUUUAAAUAGCUCAAAAUGUAUUUUUAGGAAAGUCACAUUUAAACAGAUGAAUCCCUUUAAUGUCUGUUCUGACUGAAUGUUUGAAUAUUAAAUAUAACAGUUUUGUCUUUUUUUUUUUAAUGCAUUCGAUCUAAAGGAAGUGCCUCACUUCCCACCCAUGCCUUUUUCUACAAAAAUCAUGUCUGUACGCUGUGUGUGUGCCUAACCGAGCAUGAAUGAGUGACCUGUUGUGUUUACACGUGUGUUAUGCACACAGAUAGCCAUGAUAAUCAUGUUGACCUCUUGACUCUUCCCUCCCCAGGAGAUAAUUCCACCACACAGUUAGCCAGCCUGCACAACAGGUGCUGACGGAUUGAUGGCAGGAGAGAUGAAUGAUCGGUGGAAAAAAAAAAAAAAGAGAGGGAGAGUGCGUAAGAGCAAUUUAGAUUCUCACGAGGAAAAUAAUGGUACACGUUGCUGGAGGAGUCACUGAAGAGAGCGAGAGGGAGGGAGAUGAAAAAGUCAGUGAGUCAGUAGUGAGAAAGAUUGCAAUAAAGUGAGAGGGAGGGAUGAAGGAGGAGGAAGGUAUAAUUACAGAGAGAGAAAGAGAGAGGGGACAAACAGUGAGAAGCCAGAGAGGGAGAGAGUGCUAAAGAAAGAGUCAGAGAACUGUCUAACCCUGCCCACUUUCCACUCAACCAUUCAACUCCGGCACGGGCAGCCGUGCACCGUCAGGUUUCUCCAGAGCGACCCGCAGCUCAUCGACCUGCAGGAGGAGCUCACCGACGGCGCUUCGUUCAACCCUCUUCAACUUUUAUCACCAUGACCGCUCUGCUCAGAUAAGGAUUAUUUUGGACUGGCUCCCGCUUUCCGCAUCGAUUUGACAAGCAAGCCAGCGCGGCGACUGUGAUCUUGGCAGCGGAGCAGAACAGGACCGAGGUGUGAGUCUGCCUUCACUCAGGAUGUCCUCACUCACGCUCGUGACAGGGGUACUGCUGCUCUCCGGCUGUUUGUCAGGGGGCUGCUCACCCACUCCAGCCGAGAGUGGUUCUCAGGGGACGGGGCGGCCGGAUGAUCCCGUGACCCCCUGCCCAUCCUGUGCUCUAGCCCAAAGGCAGAAGGACUCAGAGGAGCAGACCGACAUGGUGGAGGCGGUCAAGAGGCACAUCCUCAACAUGCUGCAUCUGAACACCCGGCCCAACGUCACACACCCGGUGCCCCGAGCCGCCCUGCUCAACGCCAUCCGCAAGCUGCACGUGGGACGGGUGGGGGAGGACGGCACAGUGGAGAUGGAGGAAGAUGGAGGGGGGCUGGGGGAACACCGAGAGCAAUCUGAGGAGCAGCCCUUCGAGAUCAUCACCUUCGCUGAGCCAGGAGAUGCCCCUGACAUCAUGAAAUUUGACAUUUCUAUGGAGGGCAACACUCUGUCCGUGGUGGAGCAGGCCAAUGUGUGGCUGUUUCUUAAAGUUGCCAAGGGCAGCCGAGGAAAGGGGAAGGUGUCUGUGCAGCUCCUGCAGCAUGGCAAAGCUGAUCCAGGCUCUGCGGACGGACCCCAAGAAGCGGUGGUGUCCGAGAAGACCGUGGACACGCGGCGCAGUGGCUGGCACACACUACCGGUGUCCCGCACAGUGCAGACCUUGCUGAACGGGGACAGCAGCAUGCUUAGUCUCCGCGUCUCCUGUCCCAUGUGUGCCGAAGCUGGCGCCGUGCCCAUCCUGGUGCCCACAGAAAGCAACAAGGGUAAAGAGAGAGAACAAUCUCACCGACCCUUCCUCAUGGUCGUGCUCAAGCCAGCCGAGGAGCACCCGCACCGGCGCAGCAAGCGCGGCCUGGAAUGCGACGGCAAAAUCCGUGUCUGCUGUAAACGGCAGUUCUACGUCAACUUUAAGGACAUCGGGUGGAGCGACUGGAUCAUCGCUCCGUCUGGGUAUCACGCUAACUACUGCGAGGGCGACUGCCCCAGCCAUGUGGCCAGCAUCACAGGCUCUGCCCUCUCCUUCCAUUCCACCGUCAUCAAUCACUAUCGGAUGCGCGGGUACAGCCCUUUUAACAACAUCAAGUCGUGUUGCGUACCUACCCGCCUACGGGCCAUGUCCAUGCUCUACUACAACGAGGAGCAGAAGAUCAUUAAGAAAGACAUCCAGAACAUGAUAGUAGAGGAGUGUGGCUGCUCAUAAGACCAUGAACUCCUAACAAACACUUUAAUGUUGGUACAAAGCACAUAUCAGAGGACUGGCACACAAACCUUUGAACUGCAAACUCGGGCAACCUAUUCGUUUCUAGAUCAUUCCAAUAGGACUGAUUAUUGGAGCGGUCUUCGUGGCACUUUCAUAUAAAAAUGAUGGAGGAGAAUAAAACCUAAUAUAUUUUUUUUAAUGAAGGGAGAUUGAGACUGAGAGGGAACGGGUGCAUGGGUCAAAGUGUCAGCAAUGAUUCUCUGCACUGCAAUAAAGAGACUUAUUUUGAAGCGUGGAAUUAUAUAUUCUGAGAAGAAGAAAAAAAAUACAUGCAACUCUAUGCAAGUCAAGUAUUAAUACUGGAUGUUCUUUUUUAUUAUUAUUAUUAUUUGUCUUUUAGCUUAUGUUUAAUGUUGUUUAUUGUCAUCCCUUUUCUCACAGACAAAAAGGAGUCAUUUGUAGUACAUCUUAAAAGAAGUAGUUGUGUUUAUUUCAUUUUUCUUAUGAGAAAUACUUGAAGAAAAAUUUGUUUGACCAGCUGCUGCAGCCAAACUACAUUAUUAUUAUUAUUUUAUUAUUAUUAUUAUUAUAUUGCUAUUAUCACCUAUUAUUAUUUUUCUCCUAAACAUUCUGAAUGUUGAUGAAAAGUAAUAUUAAUUUGCACUAAGCCAACAUUCACACCAUGUGAGGCCCUGAGCAUUAUGGGUCGAAUUCUAGUUGCCAUAUCAGAGUCUAGAACCACAUGCAUUUGGAACUUACACAUACAGUAGUAAACCAAAGACCAUACACAUCCCAUUCUCAGAGCAAAUCCCCAAAAUGCCCGGCUCUGUGAAUUUAUUCAAAUUAGGAACAACUGUGUAUGGCCAACAUAAUAUACCAUUAACUCAAUAUAGCACAUAAAUAACUUUAAUUUCUGUUUGUUUCUUCCUGAAACAGCCUAGAUGUUAAGAUAUCUUUUGCUCUCUGUGUUUCGACAGUGUUUGUCUCUACCAAUGUAUAACCAAGGUCUUAGAUUCUGAACUGAAACCUAGCCUUCUUGACAAAUAUAUUCAGUAAAAAGAUAGAAACAAUGUCCUGGCAAUGACAAUCUGCUUUGUCAGGUUUAAAGUACAAGACACUAAAUGAUCUUACUGUGUUGUCUUCUGUAGAGUUAUGCAACAUAUGGUUGUAUGUUGCUAUGUUGUACAAAUCAAAAUAAGUGCUUGUCAUGUUUUAUAUCUAAUUUAUUUUGCAGCAUAUUCUUUGCUUCACUAUUAAAGCUGAAUUGUACAACUUCA